GAUGGUUUUUCUCGGAGCAGGCGCCAGCCACCCCUCCGGUCUACGCCGUGGCCGACGGAGGAGGCAGACAGUCCGGUUUUGCCGCCCCUGAUGGAGAUGCAGCCUGAGGAAGGAUUUGCUCUGAGAUAGUGGAGGAGCCUCGGGAAGUUGCACAUUGAGGCUGACAAGAACUUUUGGAAGGCGAUUGCAGAGCUCCUCCCUAAUGAAGUUCCCACCAUAGAAAAUAAGAGAGGAAAGAAGGAUCAAAGAGAAGAAGCCCUCUGUUGUCGUUGUCCGAGCCCCUAUACCAGGAAAACCAACUGAAGUUUCAAGGAUGCAACAGAUUCUCUUGAAGCACAGCCCUCCAUCCCACCUGAAGCUUUUGGCCGGCAUCGGCACCCAACAUAGAUGGCUCUGAAGUCAGUGGUGCCGCAGUGGUUGAUGCUUCAGAGGAGGCGGCAAUUGCUUUGAUGGUGGCCCCUGAAGGUGUUGCCGCUGCUUCAAUAUGACUAUAAUUCCGUUAUUCUCGUUCUUGGUUGAUAGCUUAGCAAAAAUACAUCCUCUGGAAUGUCAUGACUCAUGGAGCUCCUCUUUUUGGAACACACAUUGGGUCAAGUGUAUCCGAUGGCAUAGGACUAGGGAGGUAAUACAUCGAGGUAUGACUUGUUAUUCCGAUAGACUUUUUCGUAGAAGUUGAUACCAUGCUAUCCGUUAUGUAAUCGGUGUUCGAGGUGAUGGUCUUGUCAUCUCUUCACAUCACAUCUAGAUUCACUAAGUUGAAGGAAGAAAAUAUUAGAUGCUUCUUGUGUAGUCAGCACAAUAAAAAGAAAUGAACCGAAAUGGCGACACACGUCCAAAGUGGGUCCAAACGUCACUUCUUUGCA